rnacentral:rRNA from 1 species
GACAGAGGAUGCAAGCGUUAUCCGGAAUGAUUGGGCGUAAAGCGUCUGUAGGUGGCUUUUUAAGUUUGCCGUCAAAUCCCAGGGCUCAACCCUGGAACGGCAUUUGAAACUGUCUUUCUAGAGGGUAGGCGGAGAAAACAGAAUUCCACGUGUAGCGGUGAAAUGCGUAGAUAUGUGGAGGAAUACCGGUGGCGAAAGCGGUUUUCUAGCUUAUUCCUGACGCUAAUGCGCGAAAGCAAGGGGAGCAAACAGG